GAGCCUGAGUCCCUUUAAUAUUAGAGGAGGGGAGUGGCUUUAUGAUAAGGGAAAGGUCUGCUCUUCAAUGUGUAUCUUGCUCCCUUUGAAUUCAAUGGGAAUUUUUUGCUGAGCCCAAAUCUUGCCUCGCAGCUAACUGUGAGGAAUGGUAAUCUUAGUAAAUGUUCACCAGGCUAGAGAGUGCCUUGUCCUGUGUUUCCACAGCACCUAGUGUACCUGGGACCUUUGGCACUACUAUCAUAGAAAUUCACUCUAGUGCACACGGCACUAUGCCACAUAUGAAGGGAGGGGCGCUUGAGUGGUGAAUAGGAUCACAUUUUUGAGCAGAGAUGGGCUGGGGUGACUAUUAUCCUGACAGAAGCGAGAGGGAAAUGCUACCAAAAUUUCCUGAUGUGCCGGCAUGUGGGAGAGAGGGACAAACCCACAGGCCUGAAUGAUUCCUGGUUUUGGGUACCCAAGUCACAACAUGUUAAAGGAGCCUGAUUUUCGGUCACUUUCUGAAAUUUAGGCCCCUUUAAGCUAACGAGCUAGGUUGCUCCAAUGGCAGUUAGGUGUCUAAAUACAUUUGAGGAGCUGGGCCCUAGCCACUCUUGAGAAUUUAGGCCACCAUACCGGUACUGAGAGAUUCAAAGAACAUAGCUUAUCUAUGGUUGUUUUCUGGACAAACAAUUUUAUUUUAGGUAAUGCGUCUAUACACUGUACAUUCAGUCACUGUGGUAUAUAAGCAUAGCUAUUUUCAUACAUAAUCUCAUAAAGUCCUUUAUUUUACAAUAUUAUCUGUUUCAGGGGAGGGGAUGUGGAAAAGGGGAUGUAAAAGGACUAUCAAGGUACACAGCGAAGUAGAUAAAUAUGCCAAGCUUUUUUCUUUUUUUUUUUUUAAAUCAGGCAUUUAUAAACAAGAAAGCAUACAUUAAUUACAUAAAAAUAGUUCUAGAAUAGUAGAGUAAGUCAUAAUAUUGUCAUUAGCAGCAGCAUAGGAGAGACCAGGAUAACAAAAUGUGCUGAAAUGCUAUUGGCUAUUAUAAAUGUAUAGAUUUUUUUUCCCCUCAGUUGAAAGAAAAAAAAAAAGUCAUUUCUGUGAAUUCUUUAGAUUUUAAAAAACAAAAAAACACCUCAAAAAAACAAAACCUCCCUCUAAAACAUAUGAGCUGAUGGGGGGAGGGGGAAGAAUCACCUUUUUUUUUUUUUAAUAAUAAAAAUACUUUACAAUGAAAAUAAGGACAAAAUGCAAAUGACGAAAAGUUAACCCACAUUGAAAACUUGCAAAAGUUUUUUUGUUUUGUUUUGUUUUUCCUAACAGACAGCAAAAGUUCUUCUUAGUUAAAAACACAACUCAUAAAACAAGACAACUACCAGGAAACUAAAUGGCAAAUACAAAGGGAGGAGAUGCAAUCUUACAAUUCCGAGGCACCCUACUGACUUGGGUGCGCAUGGAAUGCAGCCGUGGUUAAAGUAAGAGCAAUCCCAUCUAUGAGGGAUUUACUUCAGUGCAAUGUUGCAUACGCAGAAAUUACACACAGAACUCCCUCACUGCGAACAACCAUCAUAAAAGUUUCUCUCACAAGUAUUACCACCAUUAUCAACAGAUGUUUUCUAGAAUCAAGUGGCUGUGUGAUCUUGAAAAUACCCAGAUAUCCCCUUUCCCCGAUACAUUGAUUUAUAAUUCCUGCACAGAAGUUCUGAGUUAAAAAGAAAGACAUGCUCUUCAGCUAUGCCAAAAUUCUACUAUUUGCUCAUUGCAAAAUGUAUUUUGGAAAGACAAAAAAAAAAUCAAACCCCACAUUACAGAACUCUCCUGUUAACGAGUUGCUGGUGUAGACAGUUUGUUCCCAUAGUCUUCUUGCACUAUUGUGGGUGGAGUUCUUAACUUUAUUUCGCUGCAUCCAUUUAAACCUUAAUUUAGAGUGGUUUUCUAAUAGGUUGUUUCCUCCAAUUUAAAAUAAUCCUACUUAGUGCUCGAUGUUAAUUUGAAACACAGUAAAGCUAGCAGUCAAGAGAUUACACUCAACAGAUUUAUUGUAACAUAUCAUGUGAAAAAUCUAAACUUUUAAAACCUAAUGGCAUGCAGUUUGAAUACGAAGAAUUUUCUUCCUUGGUGUUUCUUGAUAAAGCUAUUUACGAUCUUAUUUUUCCUUCCCUGAAAAAAAUGCAGAGUUCAUUCAUUUUUGAGGAAAAAGACUUCAUAUGCACAGAAGUUAUGCCAGUGAAUAAAUAUACAUGCUGCAUAAAUACAAGGAUGAAAUAUAUGAGGUGCUGCAGGUAAGAAGGUUGUUUUCCUGGAUGAGACAGGUAGAGGCUUCAACACGCUGCAAUUUUUUGUUAGGUCAUAAGGAAAGAGAUAUUCAAAGGUUAGAUGAAACAAUAAAAACAUUCUGCUUCAAAGAAGCCAGCAUGGUGAAAAAUAACAAGUUUGUUCUAUGUGUAAUUUCUUGACACGGCAAUAGAGCACAGCAUAUGAGAGACCUUCUAAAAAUAUGCAACACUCAGCUAAAGCUAAAUUAUUUAGUUUCCCUUGAAGAAAUAACUGAAAAAUACAGAUGUGGAAAUCAUAAGGCUGAGAACAGUUUUAUGCAUAUUGCAUAACAAACCCUUUACAUAAGACAGUAAUAAUGCCCAUUAAUGAAUAUACAUAUGGCAGAGAUUUUAAUUCCAUGCAUAUGAUUUUUUUAAUAAUUGCAGAAAAAAAUACAAAGCAAAAAAAAAAAAAAACCAACCCACCCCCCUCCCCCCAAAAAACCCAGCCCCACAUAAAAAAAAUACCCCUGCAUAAACAAUGUUCCUUUUGCAUUGCACUUUAGAAGAGGAGAUUUGCACCUUAAUUCAAUCUCCACCAUCCCAAACACACAAGAACAAAAUCCCCUGUUUAAACAGACUAUUUUAAUUUCCAUGUAAUUUACUUGGUAUAACAAUUUGCUCCCCACAGUUCUGCAUUGUCCCCAUAAGUUGAUUCCUUUCAUAUACCUUCUUUCUUUGUACCUAAAACAUAUAUGAAUUUUAUUUCCCAUUAAUGCUCAGAGUUACAAUGGUUAUUAUAAUGGAUUCAAGCAAACAGCUCUUGUUUAAAAAAAAUUAAAAAAAAUCUUUUAUUUCUCUCUAAUGCACUGUAAGUAAAUACUAUAAUUUUAGGAUUGGCAGCCGCUUUUUGUCUACUGGGAAAUAAUUUUCAAGCUUACAGUUUGCAUAAAUGUCCAAAAAGAAAAUAAAGAUUACUAGGGAUGUGCUUCACUGAGAGAAUAACUUCUAUUUAUAAUGAUGCACAGGUUACCCCCUCCCUUUUUUUUUUUUUUUUAAAAAGUUGGAAAAAAAAAGUCAACAUUUCCUUUACAAGAUCCUGAAAGGCACAAUAGCAGCCCAGGUCCAAUUUUCACCUUAUGCCUUUAAUCUUGGGUGCACAAUGAGAUACUUGUGUGUGGCUUUUUUAUUAAACAAUUUCCCUUGUUCAGUAAAGCACAUAUAUAUAUAUAUAUAUAUAUAUGAUAAAUACAUGGGGAAAGCCCAAAUCUCCACAUCCUUCCACUUUGUCGAUGUGUCCAACUAUGCAAAGCGAGUGUAAAAUACUACUACUAGCAUACAUAUAUGGAAAAUCCUGAUUUGGUAACUCGGUCCCUGGUCUGCAUUCACUUUGCCUGGGUGUGAAUGAUGACAUGACGUGCCAGGCUGUGGAGAAUUGGGUGGAUGUUUUGAAGUCUUUAAAGCACGGUUCAACCUAGAAUAAUCAACCUGUAAACUUUACAACUGUGGAAUAAAAUGCAGAGGAAGAUUUUGACAAAGUGCAGUUCUUUAAAAAAUAAUAAUAAUAAUAAAAAAGACAAAGUGAUGUAAUGCUGCAUUUUUAUUCCAGGGCUGCGGCUUGGAUCCCAAAAUUAAAGUAAUUUCUAUUAUUUAAAAAAAAUAAAAGAUGUAGCCUUAUUCACAGCAGCAGAAGUGUCAUUCUUAGUUUUCUGUAGUAUCUGGUGUUGCACUGUCCUCGGGCACAGUAAACCGAGUAAGUAAAUCAAUACUGAAUUUAUGAAAAGACUGUGUAACAAAGAUGAGUUCUCUGGAAAACUGAAGUAAAGAUUUCAGAAUGACUUCAAAAUGCAUGUCUUUUUUUUUUUGCUUAUCUUUCAACCAACUUAAGUUCAUUCACUUUCUUUCUUCUUCCAUUCUUUUCCUAAAACUGAAGUGCUCUUGGAUGAAGUGAGUCUUUUGAACACAUCAGUUCAUGACAGAUAUCUUUAAAAAUUAUGGCGUGAUUUACAAACACUGAAGUCAAUAAGGCUGGAUUUAUCUCGCUCUAGCAUACACUCUCCCCACACAGGCACUCCCCUCUAUCCUCCUUUCUUCCUGGGUUUAGUAGAGGAAAACGAGGAUCGUUCAUCC